rnacentral:rRNA from 1 species
GACGAACGCUGGCGGCGUGCUUAACACAUGCAAGUCACGGGGGCCCGCAAGGGUAACCGGCGAACGGGUGCGUAACACGUGAGCAAGCUUCCGAUUAGUGGGGGAUAGCCGGCCUAACGGCCGGGUAAUACCGCAUACGACCACUGGGUGGCAUCACCUGGUGAGGAAACCUCCGGGGCUAAUCGAGGCGCUCGCGGCCUAUCAGCCAGUUGGCGGGGUAAUGGCCCACCAAGGCUAUGACGGGUAGCUGGUCUGAGGGGAUGGCCAGCCACAUUGGGACUGAGACACGGCCCAGACUCCUACGGGAGGCAGCAGUGGGGAAGAUUGCGCAAUGGACGAAAGUCUGACGCAGCGACGCCGCGUGUGGGAUGAAGCCUUUCGGGGCGUAAACCACUGUUGCCCGGGACGAAUCUCCCCUUUCGAGGGGAUUGACGGUACCGGGUGAGGAAGCACCGGCUAACUCUGUGCCAGCCGCCGCGGUAAGAC